AAAAACUCCGGUGGUAUGAGAUGGAUCCGCGUCUGAUUAGCUGGUUGGUGAGGUAACGGCCCACCAAGGCGACGAUCAGUAGCCGACCUGAGAGGGUGGCCGGCCACAUUGGGACUGAGACACGGCCCAAACUCCUACGGGAGGCAGCAGUGGGGAAUAUUGCACAAUGGGGGAAACCCUGAUGCAGCAACGCCGCGUGAGUGAAGAAGUAUUUCGGUAUGUAAAGCUCUAUCAGCAGGGAAGAAGAAAGACGGUACCUGACUAAGAAGCCCCGGCUAACUACGUGCCAGCAGCCGCGGUAAUACGUAAGGGGCAAGCGUUAUCCGGAUUUACUGGGUGUAAAGGGAGCGUAGACGGCUGUGCAAGUCUGAAGUGAAAGCCCGUGGCUCAACCGCGGAACUGCUUUGGAAACUGUAUAGCUUGAGUACUGGAGAGGCAGGCGGAAUUCCUAGUGUAGCGGUGAAAUGCGUAGAUAUUAGGAGGAACACCAGUGGCGAAGGCGGCCUGCUGGACAGAAACUGACGUUGAGGCUCGAAAGCGUGGGGAGCAAACAGGAUUAGAUACCCUGGUAGUCCACGCGGUAAACGAUGAAUGCUAGGUGUUGGGGAGCAAAGCUCUUCG
rnacentral:rRNA from 1 species